AAUUUUUUAUUUAUUUUUAUUUAAAUAUUGGAAGUAUGAUUAUUUAAAUUUAUUUAUAGUAAUUUUUUUUUUGAAUUAAUUUUGUAAAUUAUAGUUAAUUAGUAUUGAGAAAGAUUAUUUUAAGUUUUGUAAAAGUAUAUAUAAUAAUAGUACCUUUUGUAUCAGGGUUUAUAGAAAAUUUUAAUGAAUUUUAUUUUCUCGAAGUAAAUGGAUUUAUUAUAAUUUUACUAUUUUAGUGUAAAAUAAAAAAUUUAAAUUUAUAAUGGUAAUGAAAAGUUAAUCGUUUUUUAUUAUAUCUAGUUUUUUCAGUAAAAAAAUAUAAUUUUAUAUUAAUUGGCUUAAUUUAUUUUUGUUAUAUUUGUAGUGAAUUAAUUUUAAUUUAUAUAAAGAUGAUUUUAUAUAAUUUUUAAGUAAUAUUUUAAUAGUAAAAUUAUUUAGUUAGAAUUAAUAUUUUUUUUAUUAAAUAUUUUUUAAUAAAAAUUGUUGUUGUUUGUUUUAUUUAUUUUAGGUUUUAUUAUAUUUUAUGAAAAAGAUUUAAAUAAUUUUUUUUUAUUUAUUAUGAUUAUAAAAUUAGUAUAAUUUGAAUAUAAUGUAUGUUAAGUAGUUUUUAGUAAUUCGGCAAAAAAGUUUUUCACUUGUUUAACAAAAACAUGUCCUUUUGAAUAAGAAUGAAAGGUCUGCUCUGCCCACUGAUUUAUUGAAGGGCCGCGGUAUAUUAACUGUGCGAAGGUAGCAUAAUAAUUAGUUUUUUAAUUGAAAACUGGAAUGAAUGAGUUGAUGAAAAAAUUUCUUUCUUAGGAUUAUUUGGAUUAUAAUUUAAUUUUUAAGUUAAAAAGCUUAAAUUUGAUUAGGGGACGAGAAGACCCUAUAGAUCUUUAUUUUAUUUUUUAAUAUGUAUUUUUAGUUAAUGAUGUUUAUUUAUUAUUAAAGAUUAAAAUUUUGUUGGGGAGACAUAAAAAGAUAAAUAUCUUUUUAAAUUUAGAAAUCAUUUAUUUUUGUAUUUUUGAUCUUUUUUUUUUGAUUAUUAGAUUAAGUUACCUUAGGGAUAACAGCGUAAUUUUAUUGGAGAGUUCAUAUUGAUAAUAAAGUUUGCGACCUCGAUGUUGAAUUAAGAAUUAAGAUAGGAGUAGAAGUUUAUUUUUUGAGUCUGUUCGACUUUUAAAUUCUUACAUGAUUUGAGUUCAGACCGGCGUAAGCCAGGUCAGUUUCUAUCUUUAAUAUUAUGUAAAAAUUUUAGUACGAAAGGAUUAAAUUUUAUUAAGAUUUAUUUGGUUUUGAAUUAUAUUAAUUU
rnacentral:rRNA from 1 species